UGCCAGCCGCCGCGGUAAUACGGAGGGUGCAAGCGUUAAUCGGAAUUACUGGGCGUAAAGAGUACGUAGGCGGCUUUUCAAGUCGGAUGUGAAAGCCCUGAGCUUAACUCAGGAACUGCAUUCGAUACUGGAUCGCUAGAGUAUAUUAGAGGAUAGUGGAAUUUCAAGUGUAGCGGUGAAAUGCGUAGAUAUUUGAAGGAACACCAAUGGCGAAGGCAGAUAUCUGGAAUAAUACUGAAGCUGAGGUACGAAAGCGUGGGGAGAAAACAGGAUUAGAUA
rnacentral:rRNA from 1 species